rnacentral:rRNA from 1 species
ACAUGCCUACAACAUAGUGUUAAUGCACCGGAUCCCAUUAGAAUUCCAUAGUUAAGAGCGCUUGGGCUAGAGUAUUAUUGGGAUGGGUGACUGCCCGGGAAGUCCUAGUAUUUUACAUGCC